rnacentral:rRNA from 1 species
GCAUGCUUAAAAAAUAGCUUUCAUGCACCAAAUACCAUUAAAAUUCCAUAAUUAAGAACACUUGGUCUAGAGUAGUACUGCAAUGGGUGACCACACGGGAAGUCCUAGUAUUUGACAUGCC